ensembl:Y_RNA Y_RNA Y RNA
GUCUGGUCCGAAGGUAGUUAUCUCAAUUGAUUGUUCACAGUCAGUUACAGAUCGAACUCCUUGUUCUACUCUUUCCCCCCUUCUCACUACUGCACUUGACUAGUCUUAA